rnacentral:rRNA from 1 species
GAUUUAAAAAAGUCGUAACAGGGUUUCCGUAGGUGAACCUGCGGAAGGAUCAUUAA